rnacentral:rRNA from 1 species
GAGUUUGAUUCUGGCUCAGGAUGAACGCUGACAGAAUGCUUAACACAUGCAAGUCUACUUGAAUUUGGGUUUUUUAACUUCGAUUUGGGUGGCGGACGGGUGAGUAACGCGUAAAGAACUUGCCUCACAGCUAGGGACAACAUUUGGAAACGAAUGCUAAUACCUAAUAUUAUGAUUUUAGGGCAUCCUAGAAUUAUGAAAGCUAUAUGCGCUGUGAGAGAGCUUUGCGUCCCAUUAGCUAGUUGGAGAGGUAACGGCUCACCAAGGCGAUGAUGGGUAGCCGGCCUGAGAGGGUGAUCGGCCACAAGGGGACUGAGACACGGCCCUUACUCCUACGGGAGGCAGCAGUGGGGAAUAUUGGACAAUGGACCAAGAGUCUGAUCCAGCAAUUCUGUGUGCACGAUGAAGUUUUUCGGAAUGUAAAGUGCUUUCAGUUGGGAAGAAAAAAAUGACGUACCAC